rnacentral:rRNA from 1 species
UGCCAGCAGCCGCGGUAACACGGGGGGCGCAAGCGUUAUUCGGAAUUAUUGGGCGUAAAGGGCGCGCAGGCGGUCUUGUCCGUCAGGUGUGAAAGCUCGGGGCUCAACCCCGGAAGUGCACUUGAAACAGCAAGACUUGAGUACGGUAGAGGAAAGCGGAAUUCCUGGUGUAGAGGUGAAAUUCGUAGAUAUCAGGAGGAACACCGGUGGCGAAGGCGGCUUUCUGGACCGAAACUGACGCUGAGGUGCGAAAGCGUGGGGAGCAAACAGGAUUAGAUA